AUUGAACGCUGGCGGCAUGCUUUACACAUGCAAGUCGAACGGUAACAGGCCUUCGGGUGCUGACGAGUGGCGAACGGGUGAGUAAUGCAUCGGAACGUACCCAGAGGUGGGGGAUAACGCAGCGAAAGCUGUGCUAAUACCGCAUGUGAUCUGAGGAUGAAAGCGGGGGACCGAGCAGCAAUGUUUGGCCUCGCGCCUUUGGAGCGGCCGAUGUCGGAUUAGCUAGUUGGUGGGGUAAAGGCCUACCAAGGCGACGAUCCGUAGCUGGUCUGAGAGGACGACCAGCCACACUGGAACUGAGACACGGCCCAGACUCCUACGGGAGGCAGCAGUGGGGAAUUUUGGACAAUGGGCGCAAGCCUGAUCCAGCAAUGCCGCGUGCGGGAAGAAGGCCUUCGGGUUGUAAAACGCUUUUGGCAGGAACGAAACGGUGUCCGCUAAUACCGGGCGCUAAUGACGGUACCUGCAGAAUAAGCACCGGCUAACUACGUG
rnacentral:rRNA from 1 species